rnacentral:snoRNA from 1 species
ACGUCUCUUGCCUCGCUCGGUCUGCAUCCAUCUAUUGCUUGAUCUUGAGCUGGAUGCCCACUUCGGUGCGCGUACGAGACCAGAUCAAACUUGCUGAUUUUGAGUACGAUGUCGCCUCUGUUCGAUGGUGGACAUUGUAAUUUUUCCAGCAAUACAUUG